GUGACACCCAGAUAUGUGAGUGAAAAUUUCCAUCAAUCAUUCAGCUGUUUGGGGUGAUGCAAACAAACAUCUGGUUGGUUGAGAGAAUUUUUCACUUAGUGUCAGGUUUAAAAACU
rnacentral:precursor_RNA from 15 species